rnacentral:rRNA from 1 species
GCCAGACUCCUACGGGAGGCAGCAGUGGGGAAUAUUGCACAAUGGGGGAAACCCUGAUGCAGCGACGCCGCGUGAGUGAAGAAGUAAUUCGUUAUGUAAAGCUCUAUCAGCAGGGAAGAAAAUGACGGUACCUGAGUAAGAAGCCCCGGCUAACUACGUGCCAGCAGCCGCGGUAAUACGUAGGGGGCAAGCGUUAUCCGGAUUUACUGGGUGUAAAGGGAGCGUAGACGGCUGCGCAAGUCAGAAGUGAAAGCCCGGGGCUCAACCGCGGGACUGCUCUGGAAACUGUACGGCUAGAGUACGGGAGGGGCAGGCGGAAUUCCUAGUGUAGCGGUGAAAUGCGUAGAUAUUAGGAGGAACACCGGCGGCGAAGGCGGCCUGCUGGACCGAAACUGGCGUUGAGGCUCGAAAGCGUGGGGAGCAAACAGGAUUAGAUACCCCUGUAGUG